rnacentral:lncRNA from 1 species
CAUAAUUGUAUAACCCCGCCGUUUUCCAGGGGUCGUGUUUACAAGUGGCAGCGAUUAGCUACGCCAUUUCUGGUGGUUUAAGUACGGAUUAGGAGUCCAGUCGCUGUCCCGGCGUACGUACGUACUCCGUUGUUUUUGCCCCUUCUAAUCGUCCGUGUAGACCCUCCUGAUGAUUCCACAUCGCUGGCCAAGCGUAGCACGCUGUACUACUACUACCACUAUUAUCUGAGAAUCUGAUGGUGAAAUUUGGUACAGUAGCACUGCAAAUCCAUC